CAGCCGCCGCGGUAAUACGAAGGGGGCUAGCGUUGCUCGGAAUGACUGGGCGUAAAGGGCGCGUAGGCGGAUGGCACAGUCAGAUGUGAAAUUCCCGGGCUUAACCUGGGGGCUGCAUUUGAUACGUGUUGUCUAGAGUGAGGAAGUGGGUCGUGGAAUUCCCAGUGUAGAGGUGAAAUUCGUAGAUAUUGGGAAGAACACCGGUGGCGAAGGCGGCGACCUGGUCCUUGACUGACGCUGAGGCGCGAAAGCGUGGGGAGCAAACAGGAUUAGAUACCCGAGUAGUCCCUGUCUCUUAUAC
rnacentral:rRNA from 1 species